rnacentral:misc_RNA from 1 species
UUUUUCAUAGACACUGACAGGCAGUUGCGGGCUGCAUCAACCCCAAUACCAAGUCCACAGAGUAGUGGAGACUUUUCAGGGUUAGGUCCAACCGGUGGUUUUGUCAUGAGCUGUAGAGUGCAAGGGGAAGGGAAGCAUAGCAAACCAUUGGUUCAAUUGGCAAUGCGACAUGUGACAUGUGUAGAGGAUGCUGCAAUCUUUAUGGCACUUGCGGUAGCAGUUGAUCUUAGCAUUGUGGCAUGCAGGCCUUUCCGUAGGAGGCUUAGAAGAGGGUCUCGCCAUUCUUUAUAAAAAAGGAAGAAAAUUGCGGUGACUAAUUUUCGUGAACAGAGAAUGGCUUUACUUUUACAUUUUUUUUUUCACUGUUGUGCUGUAACAUUAGGCUUGUGUACAUGAUCUCCUGUUUAUGUUUACUCUUUCAGAAAUUGUUAAGUGGGUCAUAAGGUAAUCAAUACAGCCCACAUGAUACCUUCCUACCAAGGCUUAAUUUUAUAGUCUUCAUACUUGUGAAUUCUUAACCUCUCUGAGGAUGG